GACGAACGCUGGCGGCGUGCUUAACACAUGCAAGUCGAACGGAAAGGCCCUGCUUGUGUGGGGUGCUCGAGUGGCGAAAGGGUGAGUAAGACGUGAGUAACCUGACCUUGACUUUGGGAUAACUUCAGGAAACGGGGGCUAAUACCGACCAGGAGCUCCUGCUGCAUGGUGGGGGUUGGAAAGUGUCGGCGGUUGGGGAUGGACGCGCGGCUUAUCUGCUUGGUGGGGGGGUGGUGGCUUACCAAGGCUUUGACGGGUAGACGGCCCGAGUGGGUGACCGGCCACAUUGCGACUGAGCUACGGCACAGACUCCAACGGGAGGCAACGGUGGAGAAUAUUGCACAGUGGGAGGAAGCCUGAUGCAGCAACGCCGCGUGCGGGAUGCCGGGCUGCGGGUUGUAAACCGCUUUCGCCUGUGACGAAGCGUGAGUGACGGUAAUGGAUGAAGAAGCACCGGCUAACUACGUG
rnacentral:rRNA from 1 species